ACCUGGAUAGCUCGGCUGGUUAGAAUGUGGUGCUAAUAACACCAAGGUUGCAGGUUCGAUCCCUGUAUGGGACA